GUGUGUUUUCCCUUUAGAAACUGCCAAGCUUUGGACCUUACCUUGAACAGCGCAAGAAAAUUAUUGCAGUGAGUAAAAUCAGAGCGAGAGAUCAAAAUGGAACUUGUUCUCCACUCCAGAGAAAGCCCUUCAUCCCACAAAAGCCUAUUCCUGCUAUCAAGGAUGUAAUUGGAAAAGCGCUGCAAUACCUGGGAACAUUUGGUGAGCUGAGCGGUGUAGAGCAAGUUGUGGCCCUGAUCAAUGAGGAAAUGUGCAUCAAUUGCGGCAAAUGUUACAUGACCUGUAAUGACUCUGGCUACCAGGCUAUACAGUUUGAUCCAGAAACUCACCUGCCUACUGUUACCGACACCUGCACAGGCUGCACUCUCUGCCUCAGCGUCUGUCCUAUUAUCGACUGUAUCAGGAUGGUUUCCAGGACAACACCUUAUGAACCAAAGAGAGGCUUACCCUUAGCUGUGAAGCCAGUGUGUUAAGGUGAUUUGUAAGAUAGUUGCUGUGAACUUUGAUGUGACCGACAUAGGCUGAUCUUUAAACACAGCGGUAAGGAAUCAUUGUGGUCAGUUCUUUUCCAAAUUUUAUAGAUUUACACAUAUAAUUACUAAAUAAAUGUCUAAAUUGGAAAGCAAUGUCUAAUGCCAGUGACCAAUUAAUGGUCAUAAAAUGGAAUAAUUCUUUUCUGAGGUAGCUGGUGAGUAACUGCAUACCAGUUAAUUGGAUGUGCUCCGUCAGUUGUCUACUGUGAAAAAUUAACUUUUUCAUGGCAAUUAGUGUGACAAUUUCUAAAUUGCCCUAUGCCAUGCUCAUUCUUUGAUUCCUAAUUGUAAGUGAAAUGAACUAUUUUGGAACAAAGUACAGUUACAUAUACAGGAAACCGUUGCCAAGGUAACACUUUGUAAUUAAAAAUUACCUGUAAUUUUAACACCAUUUCUAAGGACGUGUAAUUAGCUCCAUUAAGAACGAUCGAAAAACGUCAAGUCAUUAUUUACUAUGACAAGGGGAACAAAACCUGAAAGGGUGUUUUCUAGAAUUUUCUUCUGGUCCCUUUUGUGAAGUAGCUCACUCUUUGGUGCUGGACACUAACAGAGAGACUAUUUCCUGACUAAAAUUCAGUUCAGCACUCAUGCCUGAAACAGGUGUCCAGACUACUCAGGGAUGGACCACACGUCAUUUUUAUUUGAAUAUUGAAGCUGUGUUCCUGAUGAAAUGAGAUAUUAGGAUGAAUGUGUGGUUAAUGCCACACUUCACUGUGCAUGAACUGUUCUGUCUGCUUUUUACAGUCACCGUCAUUAGGAGAGCAACGUAUGUUAAAACAAGGCUCUGAUUACACAGCUCUGAGCCACAGGCUCCAUAUUCGACAAUGAAAACCACCUUAUCUGUAGCUUAUACAUAAUGAGAAGAACCUGUCUGUCUACUCUUUAUUUUGACUCAUAUGUGAUUUUAAAAUUAAUAAUAUAGAAAUAUGUAUUUUCUGAUAUUGAUAAAUAAUUUUGGAUUUCUCUAUUUUCAUAAUCAGUAAAUAGCAUCAAAUACAUUCAUUUAUUCCUUCCAUGUGGCACAUUUUAAUAUGAGUCUAUAGGAAGUAAAUCUUAAAAUGACAAUCUGUGGCAUAUUUCAGUGAUAAAUGCAAGAGCUAGGAGUGCACUUUGACAAAAUCUGUAUGAUCAAAUAAUCACAAAUAAAAUUUUAUGAUUUUCAGUGUA